GCACAGCAGCUCUGCAAAACCUGGCAACAAGUUGUUUUUAGGGGCCUUUUCUCACUUUUGGCGCAUUGAUUUUUGCAUCACUUUGGAUUUUGCCGCUGUUUCUUCCAUUCUUUUGUAUUUUGUUUUCUAAAAAUGCACAGCGUCUUCUUAGAUUUUUCUCCGCUGAUGGGUUUCUAGUAGUAUUUAUUCAGUUUCUUUCUUUUUUUUGGAUGGAAAUUUGUCAAGGUGUUGUUUCGCCAUGUGAUGGGCCUUGUUCCACCUGGACUGUCGGGGCGCCAUUUCUGACGGGUAACCUGCUCGGGGUGGGCUCGUUGUCUGGAUGACCACUGUGGAUGACAAGCAGAGAAUGUGACCGGUAUCUGUGCGCGGUACACAUAUGUGUUUUAAAGACCUGUCCUUCUUCAGCGACUGGCGUGAAGUAUCGCACCUCUUUCGUCUUUACUCUGUUUCUCCUUCUAUUUCCUUCCCAUGUCCUCUCUCUCUCUCUCUCUCUCUCUCUCUCUCUCUCUCUCUCUCUCUCUCUGUGUGUGUCCGCCUCUCGCUCCCUCUUGUUCCCUCUCUUUCACACCGACUCGCUCUCCUAACAGGAGAAUGAGUGGUGUGCUGAGCCGGAUCUCUUUCUGGGACAGGUGCCAACUGCAAAGAAAAGACAUUAAAAGGCCUCACCAGGCCUAGACCCAGCCGGUGGCAGGCGAGCCGUGCAGCCCUGAGCUUGGGGCUCAGACUGUGGCUGGAAGAGAGAAUGAGGCUGGAGCUGAGGCACGGCUGUGAAGGGGGCAGUCUGAGGGGGGAAAUAAGAAAGAACUACCGAAACGGGAGCUUAUGGCAUUCUCCUCUUCUUGACAGAGAUGUGGAUCAAAGCGGGAAGAGCUGCCGACUUUUGCAUCCCGACUGGACAUUUACCAUCUCCGGCACUGAGAUGGGUUUUGACUUCAGCCACAGGCACAGAAGAAAUUGGCCAACAAGGCCAGACAGACUGGCGAUCGCAGCAGCAUUAAGUAACGAAGGCUACCUGACAUGCUGCUGAAACCCUGAUGGAAGGAUUUGCUGCGUGUUACAGAGCAGGUGAGAAAUAUUAACAGCGGCAAGCAGCUGUGACUCUCUGAUCCGCACAUGUGGGCCAGGAGGACAUGAGCUAGCUUGAGCUCGCCCGCUGUCAAUACUGGUCACUAUUGUUAACGCUCUCCUCCCUGAAGCACACAAACAGUGUAUGUUGGUUGAAGAGGUUAAAACUUUCAAUUAUAGAUAAUGAGGUGGGGGGGGGCCUGAAAUGUAUUUUCGAUCUAUAAUCAUUUCUUGACCUAUUUCGACAAGCAAUGCUGUAGAGUGGAAACUGCUGACUCUGCAUAUUUGAAAAUGGACAAUAUUUAAUGAAUGGAACACUUUUGAGGUUAAAAGAUUUUCCGUGAAAUCCUUCUUUUGUAUGUCGCAGUACCCUCCAAGUUCUUUGCUGGUCACAUUUGAAUAUAGAAAAUAUCUUUACCAUACAAUAUGCACAUGUAUAUGUAUAUAUGCACCUUGUUGGAUCAUUUGAAUCCCCCCCCCCCCCCCCCUCCACCCCCACCCUAAGCUCGAGCCAUGAACCGGGUGACCCAGACGUCACAUUGUGUUCUGAACACACAGAUUCCGGUCACACCGGUGAGGCGUCCCGGAGGAGGCGCGGCAUGUGUAUUUGUGUUUCAGUGAAUCAUAACCGCUGUUUUGCAUUCAUCGAGGUGUGUCGAAGCAGAUUACCUGCAUGAAUUGGGGGGGGGGGGGACAUGAAAUGACUUUGUUUUUAAAGACUGUCCUUUGGGGUGAGGUAGUAGGUUGUAUAGUUUUAGGGUCAUGCCCUUCCUGUCAGAUAACUAUACAACUUACUGUCUUUCCUGAAGUGGCUGUAAUCUCAUCACAUGCCGUUGUUGGAGCUUUUGGAUCUGGAUCAACGCUGGAAUGUGCGUGUUUACCCACUGACUGCUAAGAACCUUUACAGCCUUUGAUAGCGGUGAGUCAUUUAGGGUUGUGGCUGCGUUACACUGUUUUCUCAUUGUUUUCACUUGAAGACUUUGUGGUCAAUAAAACAUGUUUUGUCAGAAGUGUUUUGCUGGUUGUUUGUGUGCCAAAUAAACUCCAUUAAAAAUCAUUUCUUUAUGCACAAACCUGCUCUUCUACUUUGUCAAAGCUCUCUUGCAAUGUUACUGUUUAAGAAAUGAAAACUCGACUUUGUUUUAUUGUCUGUAAAUGUAAGUUGCUUUAUAUGUGAAUUAAUGUAAGUCAAAUGUACAAGGGUGUUUUUAUGCACAGCGUUUAUAUGUCACUCCACCUCGAAGUCGCACCAAAGCUUGCCAACCUGUACGACCUCUCUGAUGUUCGAACAGGGUGAGGUAGUAGGUUGUGUGGUUUCAGGGUAAUGAUUUUGCCCAAUAAGGAGAUAACUAUACAACCUACUUCCUUCCCUGAAGGGCAGCAAUACAUCACUAUACAGACUGCAGAGGGGGCGUCUUGCUCCCAGCAUCAGAAAAACUUGACCCUGAUCUACAAACCUGACCCUGAGCCACCAGUCCACUUCUUACCUGGAACGUACACAUCCACAGCCAAUCACAGCAACAGAGAGGACCUGCAGGUAAAGCCUGUUCACUGUGGGAUUUGUGUUUGAUUCGUUUUUUUCUGCUUCAAACUUUAAUAAAGAAUAAUAUCAUAAAUCAGUUUGUCUUUGCCCGUUUAUUUCAGUUCUUAUACUUGUUCUCACAUCCUGUUAGUUUCAAUUGCAAUCAUGUGUGUAUAUAUAU
ensembl:lncRNA